GUGGGGAAUCUUCCGCAAUGGACGAAAGUCUGACGGAGCAACGCCGCGUGAGUGAAGAAGGUUUUCGGAUCGUAAAGCUCUUUCGUUAGGGACGAACGUGCUCUUUGUGAAUAAUGAGGAGUAAUGACGGUACCUAAAUAAGAAGCCACGGCUAACUACGUGCCAGCAGCCGCGGUAAUACGUAGGUGGCAAGCGUUGUCCGGAAUUAUUGGGCGUAAAGCGCGCGCAGGCGGGAUAUCAAGUCUGUCUUAAAAGUGCGAGGCUCAACCUCGUGAGGGGACAGAAACUGGUAUUCUUGAGUGUCGGAGAGGAAAGUGGAAUUCCAAGUGUAGCGGUGAAAUGCGUAGAGAUUUGGAAGAACACCAGUGGCGAAGGCGACUUUCUGGACUGUAACUGACGCUGAGGCUCGAAAGCCAGGGGAGCGAACGGGAUUAGAAACCGGGUAGUCC
rnacentral:rRNA from 1 species